CCUACGGGAGGCAGCAGUGGGGAAUAUUGGACAAUGGGGGAAACCCUGAUCCAGCGACGCCGCGUGAGUGAAGAAGUAUUUCGGUACGUAAAGCUCUAUCAGCAGGAAAGAAAAUGACGGUACCUGACUAAGAAGCCCCGUCUAACUACGUGCCAGCAGCCGCGGUAAUACGUAGGGGGCAAGCGUUAUCCGGAUUUACUGGGUGUAAAGGGAGCGUAGACGGCAGCGCAAGUCUGGAGUGAAAUGCCGGGGCGCAACCCCGGAACUGCUCUGGAAACUGUGAAGCUGGAGUGCAGGAGAGGUAAGCGGAAUUCCUGGUGUAGCGGUGAAAUGCGUAGAUAUCAGGAGGAACACCGGCGGCGAAGGCGGCUUACUGGACUGUAACUGACGUUGAGGCUCGAAGGCGUGGGGAGCAAACAGGAUUAGAUACCCGAGUAGUC
rnacentral:rRNA from 1 species